rnacentral:sRNA from 1 species
GUCGCACCUCGACUGGACCGCACACUCGCCAGAGCUCCUGCAGUUCAGUGUCAUCGUCGCGCAGUCAGGCCCUGCCCUAGGACAAGCCCUGCCCCACGUCGUGCCCACGCUCAGGGCCUGUCUUCAGCCCUCCCGAGACCCGCAGAUGCGCCUGAAGCUGUUCUCCAUCUUGUCCACGGUGCUGCUCAGAGCCGCGGACACCAUCAACUCCCAGGGGUAGGUCCGGGCUCUGCCUCUGCACGGCCCCUAGCUGGGGCCUGGGCCAGGAGUCCCCAUCUCCCUCCCCAACAGCUCACUGAGCAAGGGGGUCCCCACCUCCCUCCCCCACGCCGACUCUGAGGUGGGCCGGGGGUCCCCACCUCCCUCCCCCACAGCUCUCUGGGCGAGGGUUCCCCACACCAAGUCUGAGGUGGGCGUAUGCAGUGACCCCUGAGCUUGACUGGCCCGGAAGCAGCUCGUCCGUCCUCACUGGGUAAACACAAGCUCUCAGCUGGGAAUGCACGAAGCACUAAGUCAAAGUCAUCAGCGUGUGGUCAUUAAAAUUCCAGUGAAUGAAAAAGUUUUAGGGAACAUUAACUGUUAAUGGCUUAUGUAUUAGCUGUUCUCUGUUUUAAAAGCCUUUGGGCACUUUUCAAACCUAACAAAGAACUGAUUGAAUUACCAUUGAUGGUCAAAGUAGUAGAAAUACCUCUCUGUUAUCUAAGAGAACUUUUAGGCGGCAUUAAGACCCCGAGGGCCUAGGGGCUCCAGGUGUAUGGCUUUGAAGUAAGGGCAAGAAGCAUGGGUGCCCUCUAGGAGCGCUGGGAGGGGCAGUGGAGGAAGAGGCCCCGCCCAGGUGCCGCUGCUGAGGUAGCUCUUAGGGCCCUGCCGCUUACUUUGUUCAGAGCAAAAGGUGCCGUCAGCUGGGUCCUACCCCCGCCUGUGUGGCUGGAUCUGGGCUGCAUCAGCACCGGGACCCGCCCCGGCAGCACAUCUGUCAAAGCGGAAAGCAGUUCACACACCGGAUCCUCAUGUGGAAAAAAUCCAGGCGUUCAGACUUUUCUCCUCCAUGGCCCUCAUCUCUGCUCUCGGGCCUCAGCCCGCCUGUCGUACUGCAGGAAAUUUUGUUUCCUGUUUGUCUUCAAAGACUUCAGGGCUUAGAACGGACCAUAGAAAGAUAUGAACUGAGAGCCGGGGCAGCCUUCCAGCUUGCAGGCUGAUAUUUGUGUAGAUACCACGCAGAUAACACAGCAGGGUCCAGGCCCUUCCCUCUGGAGCUCACACUCGGCUGUAUUUUGGGAGGAACCGCUGGGCAGGUUCUGCCCAGGAACAGUUAACUCUGUGGAGCACAGUUUCCACAUCUGGGCUGAAUUCCCAAAGAAAGUGCGCUUAACAACGUCUUAUGGAAGGCAGUUGGUGUCAGGAGAAGUAAAGUGUUCAAAUGGCAGUGAUUUUAAUGAACUUAUUAGCUAUUUUAAUAGGAAAGAUUUUUUUUAUCCGUUUGGUUUUUAUUUUUAGAAUCAUGGAAUAGCGAGUUGGCUCUGCUGAAGUAGGAAUGGUGGGUGGGGAGUCGCCGCUGACCGUCGUCUGCGCAGAGCACCUUCCUGCUGCCCGCAGCUGUGAGCACCGGCUGUACGCAGGUCCCUGCUGUGCGGGUGCCCAAGAGGGCUGAGGGCCGCAUCUGCCAUGGUGUCUCCAUUUUGGACACCGUGAAUCAUGAGAGGUUCUCAGGGCUGUGCCUCCCACAGGCUUUCUGUGUCUCACCUGGGACACUCAGGACUAGUUGUGUUUAGGUUUUCUUAAAAUUCUGUGGUAAUUGCAUUGUAGAGCAUCCCUAAUCCAAACUUCAGAAAUCCAAAAUGCUCCAGUGAGUAUUUCAUUUGAGCGUCAUGUCAGUGCUCAGAAAUGGUCAGACCCUGGAGCACUUUGGAUUCUGGAGUGAAGGGUACUCAGCCUGCGUCUGACAGAAGCUCCAGAGAAGUGGCUGCAAGUUCAGGGCAAGAGGCUCCUGGCUUUGAGGCUGCACCGUUUCUGGGAGUCGAGCCCCAUAGUGGACCUCGAGUCCCUCUGUAAUAGGGAUGUGCUCAGGCAGGGAACCCAGAGCACCAGCCGCUGGGCCCCUUGCUCCCCGGCUCCGCAGCGUCUUCGGGUCCUAUGGGCCUGGCUGUGCCCAGCCCCAGUGCAUGGUGGCAGGUGCCUGUGAUCCCAGCUACUCAGGAGGCUGAGGCAGGAGAAUCACUUGAACCUGGGAGGCAGAGGUUGCAGUGAGCGGAGAUUGUGCCACUGCACUCCAGCCUGGGCAGCAAGAGCGAGACUUUGUCUCAAAAAAAAGGAACGUGCCUCGUUCAGUGGUUCGAUGGUGGUUCUGACGGAUGCCCAGAAGUUCUGAUGGAGCUUCUGUCAGACACAGGCUGAGCAUCCUUCACCCCAAAAUUUAAAAAAAAAAAAAAAA